rnacentral:rRNA from 1 species
UACGGAGGGAGCUAGCGUUAUUCGGAAUUACUGGGCGUAAAGCGCACGUAGGCGGCUUUGUAAGUUAGAGGUGAAAGCCUGGAGCUCAACUCCAGAAUUGCCUUUAAGACUGCAUCGCUUGAAUCCAGGAGAGGUGAGUGGAAUUCCGAGUGUAGAGGUGAAAUUCGUAGAUAUUCGGAAAGAACACCAGUGGCGAAGGCGGCUCACUGGACUGGUAUUGACGCUGAGGCACGAAAGCGUGGGGAGCAAACAGG